AAGGCUUUAGCUUAAUAAAAGCAUCUGAUUUGCAAUUAGAGGAUACAGGUUAAUAUCCUGUUGGCCUUA
rnacentral:tRNA from 1 species